CCCUUUUCACAUGACGUCAGACAACAUCCGUUUUGACUCGAUCCAGUGUAUCUUUAGUUCCGGUGUGUGGAGUUAACGGUGUUUCUGGACUCUAAAGCAGCUGCCACAAAUACGAUUUAAAGAUAUAUCACUAUUUGCAGACAAUUUUUCUUCAUCAACAUAAUCUAAACUGGACAAAUUCCUCUCUGAAUGAUACCAGUUUGACUACGAAGGUUACACUUGAUUCUGCUGUGGUGCCUGUGGAAACAAAGUGCAUGAAGUUUGUGCUGAGGUGGGAAAACCCUGUGGAUCACAUGGUGGGACUUCUGCUUCAAACUGCUCACUACAGUUUACCACUGCCUCUGUCAUCCACCAGUUCACUGCAGACUGGCACCCGCCAAGGACCCUACAUGGAUGUCUUAAGUUGUAAACCCUGAGUACAUACUGUUGAAAUAAAAUUGAUAUGCCUUUUGUAAAUA